GGGGGUGAGAUGCUUUGACGAAGGGACGAAGACGAAAAAGGCAGGCCGGGGUUUCUUGAUUCCCCGCACAAAGAUCAAGGGCACAACAACUGCCAACGUAUUUGCCCCGCAGAGGGCGCUUGCGUACGCCUAACAGCUACGCCGUCUAGCCGGUUCAUUCUCGAUAUGCCGGCGAAGGCGUCAUUCAUCGAGAGAGCGAACGGUGCGAAUUCGGCCGGCCGCUUCUGCGCAGAAUUCAAACGGACGGGGGGGUUUUGCCCAAUUUCACCUCCCGAGCCGCAUUCAAUUGGGAUAUGCCUGUAGAGAGUUUCGGACAAGUCGCUUUCGGACGAGGGUUCAACUCCCUCCACCUCCAC
rnacentral:tmRNA from 1 species